AGAGUUUGAUCAUGGCUCAGGAUGAACGCUGGCGGCGUGCCUAAUACAUGCAAGUCGAGCGAAGGAAGUAGCAAUACUUCUUUAGCGGCGAACGGGUGAGUAACGCGUUGGUGACCUGCCUCGAAGCGUGGGAUAACAGUUCGAAAGGAUUGCUAAUACCGCAUGUGGUUGAAGAGAUUAGAGGCUUUACAACUAAAGGAGAAAUUCACUUCGAGAGGGGCCUGCGUCCCAUCAGCUAGUUGGUAAGGUAACGGCUUACCAAGGCUAUGACGGGUAGGGGACCUGAGAGGGUGGCCCCCCACAAUGGAACUGAAACACGGUCCAUACACCUACGGGUGGCAGCAGUAGGGAAUAUUGCAUAAUGGGCGAAAGCCUGAUGCAGCAACGCCGCGUGUGCGAUGAAGGCCUUCGGGUCGUAAAGCACUUUUAGAGAGGAUGAGGAAGGACAGUACUCUCUGAAUAAGCCUCGGCUAACUACGUGCCAGCAGCCGCGGUAAAACGUAGGAGGCGAGCGUUAUCCGGAUUUACUGGGCGUAAAGCGCGUGCAGGCGGUAAGGAAAGUUGGAUGUGAAAGCUCCUGGCUUAACUGGGAGAGGUCGUUCAAAACUACCUAACUAGAGUGUGGGAGAGGGAGGUGGAAUUCCGGGUGUAGUGGUGAAAUGCGUAGAUAUCCGGAGGAACACCAGUGGCGAAAGCGGCCUCCUGGCCCAAGACUGACGCUCAGACGCGAAAGCUAGGGUAGCAAACGGGAUUAGAGACCCCGGUAGUCCUAGCUGUAAACGAUGUGGACUUGGCGUCGGCGGGUUUAAAUCCGUCGGUGUCGAAGCAAACGCGAUAAGUCCACCGCCUGGGGACUACGGCCGCAAGGUUAAAACUUAAAGGAAUUGACGG
rnacentral:rRNA from 1 species